rnacentral:rRNA from 1 species
UACGUAGGGCGCAAGCGUUGUCCGGAAUUAUUGGGCGUAAAGAGCUCGUAGGCGGCUUGUCGCGUCGGAUGUGAAAGCCCGGGGCUUAACUCCGGGUCUGCAUUCGAUACGGGCAGGCUAGAGUUCGGUAGGGGAGAUCGGAAUUCCUGGUGUAGCGGUGAAAUGCGCAGAUAUCAGGAGGAACACCGGUGGCGAAGGCGGAUCUCUGGGCCGAUACUGACGCUGAGACGCGAAAGCGUGGGGAGCAAACAGG